rnacentral:rRNA from 1 species
GAUGAACGCUGGCGGCGUGCCUAAUACAUGCAAGUCGAGCGAACAGACGAGGAGCUUGCUCCUUUGACGUUAGCGGCGGACGGGUGAGUAACACGUGGAUAACCUACCUAUAAGACUGGGAUAACCUCGGGAAACCGGAGCUAAUACCGGAUAAUAUAUUGAACCGCAUGGUUCAAUAGUGAAAGACGGUUUUGCUGUCACUUAUAGAUGGAUCCGCGCCGCAUUAGCUAGUUGGUAAGGUAACGGGUUACCAAGGCAACGAUGCGUAGCCGACCUGAGAGAGUGAUAGGCCGCACUGGAACUGAGACACGGUCCAGACUCCUACGGGAGGCAGCAGUGGGGAAUCGUCCGCAAUGGGCGAAAGCGUGACAGAGCGACGCCGCGUGAGUGAUGAAGGUCUUCGGAUCGUAAAACUCUGUUAUUAGGGAAGAACAGAUGUGUAAGUAACUAUGCACGUCUUGACGGUACCUGGUCAAAAAGCCACGGCUAACUACGUG